AUUGAACGCUGGCGGCAGGCUUAACACAUGCAAGUCGAACGAGUGGCGGACGGGUGAGUAAUGUCUGGGAAACUGCCUGAUGGAGGGGGAUAACUACUGGAAACGGUAGCUAAUACCGCAUACCCUCGGAUGUGCCCAGAUGGGAUUAGCGAGUAGGUGGGGUAAAGGCUCACCUAGGCGACGAUCCCUAGCUGGUCUGAGAGGAUGCCCGGCCAAACUGGAACUGAGAAACGGUCCAUACUCCUACGGGAGGAAGAAGUGGGGAAUAUUGCACAAUGGGGGCAAGCCUGAUGCAGCCAUGCCGCGUGUAUGAAGAAGGCCUUCGGGUUGUAAAGUACUUUCAGCGGGGAGGCGUUACCCGCAGAAGAAGCACCGGCUAACUCCGUGCCAGCAGCCGCGGUAAUAC
rnacentral:rRNA from 1 species